rnacentral:rRNA from 1 species
UUGCAGUUAAAAAGCUCGUAGUUGGAUUUCGGAGUGGGCCAGUUGGUCCGCCGCAAGGUGUGUUACUGACUGGUUUGCUCUUCUUCGCAAAGACUGCGUGUGCUCUUCAGUGAGUGUGCGUAGGAUUUACGACGUUUACUUUGAAAAAAUUAGAGUGUUCAAAGCAGGCUAUUGCUUGAAUACAUGAGCAUGGAAUAAUGGAAUAGGACUUUGGUCCCAUUUUGUUGGUUUCUAGGGCCGAAGUAAUGAUUAAGAGGGACAAUUGGGGGCAUCCGUAUUUCGUUGUCAGAGGUGAAAUUCUUGGAUUUACGAAAGACGAACAACUGCGAAAGCACUUGCCAAGAGUGUUUUCAUUAAUCAAGAACGAAAGUUAGAGGAUCGAAGACGAUCAGAUACCGUCCUAGUUCUAACCAUAAACGAUGUCGACUAGGGAUCAGCGGGCGUUAUCGUACGACCCCGUUGGCACCUUACGGGAAACCAAAGUUUCUGGAUUCCGGGGGAAGUAUGGUUGCAAAGCUGAAACUUAAAGGAAUUGACGGAAGGGCACCACCAGGAGUGGAGCCUGUGGCUCAAUUUGACUCAACACGGGGAAACUUACUAGGUCCAGACAUAGUAAGGAUUGACAGAUUGAUAGCUCUUUCUUGAUCCUAUGGGGUGGUGGGUGCAUGGCCCGUUCUU